GACGAACGCUGGCGGCGUGCUUAACACAUGCAAGUCGAACGGAAAGGCCUCUUUCGGGGGGUACUGAUGUGGGGAACGGGUGGGUAACACGCAAGUAACUUGCCUUCCAAUUUGGGUUAACUCACGGAAACAGGGCCUAACACAGGCCGGGAGAUCUUGUGGCCGGGAGGGGGUGGGAAAGUUUCGGGGGUUGGGGAUGGACUCGGGGUUUAUCAGCUUGUUGGUGGGUAGUUGGCUAACCAACGCGUUGACGGGUAGCCGGCCUGAGAGGGUGACCGGCCACAUUGAGACUGAGAGACGGCCCAGACUCCUACGGGAGGCAGCAGGGGGGAAGAUUGCACAAGGGGUGGAAGCCUGAUGCAGCAACUCCGUGUGCGGGAUGACGGCCUUCGGGUUGUAAACCGCUUUCGCUCGUGACGAAGCUUUGUGUGACGGUAGUGGGUAAAGAAGCACCGGCUAACUACGUG
rnacentral:rRNA from 1 species